GAUGUGUAGGAUAGGUGGGAGGCUUUGAAGCGUGGACGCCAGUCUGCGUGGAGCCGACCUUGAAAUACCACCCUUUAAUGUUUGAUGUUCUAACGUGGACCCGUUACCCGGGUUGCGGACAGUGUCUGGUGGGUAGUUUGACUGGGGCGGUCUCCUCCUAAAGAGUAACGGAGGAGCACGAAGGUUGGCUAAUCCUGGUCGGACAUCAGGAGGUUAGUGCAAUGGCAUAAGCCAGCUUGACUGCGAGCGUGACGGCGCGAGCAGGUGCGAAAGCAGGUCAUAGUGAUCCGGUGGUUCUGAAUGGAAGGGCCAUCGCUCAACGGAUAAAAGGUACUCCGGGGAUAACAGGCUGAUACCGCCCAAGAGUUCAUAUCGACGGCGGUGUUUGGCACCUCGAUGUCGGCUCAUCACAUCCUGGGGCUGAAGUAGGUCCCAAGGGUAUGGCUGUUCGCCAUUUAAAGUGGUACGCGAGCUGGGUUUAGAACGUCGUGAGACAGUUCGGUCCCUAUCUGCCGUGGGCGCUGGAGAACUGAGGGGGGCUGCUCCUAGUACGAGAGGACCGGAGUGGACGCAUCACUGGUGUUCGGGUUGUCAUGCCAAUGGCACUGCCCGGUAGCUAAAUGCGGAAGAGAUAAGUGCUGAAAGCAUCUAAGCACGAAACUUGCCCCGA
rnacentral:rRNA from 1 species